UAAUAUGACUUGCUCAUGUCGGUUCACUCUCGACUUGAUUGUAGGAGGUUUUGAUUUAGGUCUCAAUUGGGUUUGCUACAUCACAUGUAAACCUAUCUACCCGACUCUCAUUCACAUCACAUGCAAACGGCGCAUUGCAGGCAGUUAUAAUCGCGGCAAUAAUUAAAGCUAAACUUUAACUAGGUGAUGAUCAUGGAUUCUAAUUAGGUCGUAUUACAAGCACAUGCACAUCAAUCGAUCAAGUGGUCUUCAACUCUUGAAUUGGUUCCAAGCUUCCUUGAUUCGAUCCUUGAUCAACUCUUGAUCCCAUCCCCAUCAACCGCUUAGAUCACCUUUCAUCUCAUGCCUUUGCUUCAGCUUGAUCGUUGAUGUACAUCACAUCACAGAAAUACAACCAGAUGUAAAAUAAAAAUAAAAAUAAAUUACAUCUCCUUUUAGGAGGCACGCAGGCCUCUCAAAAUAUCAAAUAAGAUGCAUGCAAGCAUCUGAAAAAUUACAUGACAUCGCAGAUCACAUCGCAGGUCAUUACAUUUGAUACCAAAAGGGUUUGAAUCCUAUGAUCAUCACCGUAUGCAACAAUUAUAAUUUCAGAUCUGAAAACUAACUGAUUAUAUCAUUACAUAGGUCGCUGAU
rnacentral:lncRNA from 1 species